UUUUCAGAAAAAAAAAUCAGCUUCCCUAACUCCUUUCUCCCUCACUCACGGCUGUCCCUUGCGCCGCAGCCCUCACUCACGGCUGCCCCUUGCACCACAGCCACCGGCAGACACCUCCCCCCUUCCACGAGCAGCCCCAGGCAGCAGCAUAACAAGCUGCGUGUUCUUCUCCCCACCAGCAGCCGGCUGCCCCUGUGUGCCGCCAGCAAGACAGCAGCCUUGUGGUGGUCUCCACCAUCCCACACGGCCUCGCAUCACCACCACAAGAACCACCAACCCCUUGACCCAUUUCCUAGUUCCACCCCUUGUUCCCAGUUUAUAAGAGGAAAGUAGAAUCUUAGUUGGGUGACUUUUGUAAGUUUUGGUCGUGCAGUGACGCUUACAGGUGCGUACACGCAGUAAUUAACUAUCAUAUUCAUUGUUUCAUAGUAUUAUCAAUAUUUCGUGGUUAUAUGCAUCGUAUUAGAAUUAUAGAACGCCAGAAAGUAAAUUCUGCUAUCGAAUAAUCAUAAUAGUGAUAUAGGCAAGUAGAAUGAAAGCAUUAGGAGACUAUGAGAACAAACUCCUAAAUAGUAGAGAACGCAUCAUGGUUGUGUGUGGUAUCGAAGUGAUUUCCUAGUUAUUAAGCAUUGAUUAUGAUUAGUUGGCGUGACUCAACUGGAUUAUGUCCGGUUGAUUUAGUAGUCUCCUAGGUGAGAUCCGACGGGAUCACCGUAAGGGGGGUAUGAGCAUACUUUUGUCAUUUGUCGCCGAGUGGCCAAUACCGCCCCUUGACCGAGGUGUUACCAUGCGGGCCUUGCAAACCCUAAUAUGGUGGCCUCUUCACUGGAUUGGUACCCUAGUGUGUUGGUUUUCCUGAAGGUAAGACCUGAGAGGGUUAGCUGGAGGGGAUAUGAGCUCAUACUUUGCCAUGGGCGCCGGGUGACCGAUAACGCCCUUGGCCGUGUCACUAUGCCAUGAAUAGAGAAAAGAUCCACUACCUUUGAAUAUGCUUUGAGGGAUUAGUAGUUGAAGAGAAACCAUGGUUAAAUAUAAGUGUUUAGUCAGAUGAGUAGAUUCGUAUUGCUGUGCUAUGUCAUCGUCUAUUCCCUUGUUAUAUGAUUCUAAUUGUUAUAAAUUCAUUGAUUACUGAUGUGUAUGUGUUUGUUCAUGACUUUCUAUGAUGUUCCUGCUAUGAUACAUUUGACUUUGGUCAUUAUGUUGAGCAGCAGGAGGAUCAUAGCUUGGCAUAACAGGUAUAAGAGCUUCUUUUGCUUGGCUUUGGGGAAACAGUGGAGUACGGUUAUAGCAAUUACUAUACGAUUAUCCUGACGUUGUAGCUCUUAUAUUACUUGUUAAGUUUUGAGUUGUAUAAUUACUUUUUUUUUGAGCCAUGUGAUUCCUUGUGAAUUUAUAGUCCGUUGCGUAGUUUUUCUGGAUGUAUGAUCGUAAGAAUAAUUCUUUUGUAUACGUUAACGUUGGAACCACGAUCCGUGUUGGAAUUAGAGAAUUGAUGAGCCGACGAUAGUUCAUCUCGCCGUGACACCUUUUGGAGGGCUUUGAUAUCUUCGAUUUGUUUAGUUGAAUUACUCCAUUUAUCGAUCUAUGUUAUAUCUUCAAUUUCAGCAGAGAUGCUUUUGAAAUUUCCACUCACUCACCUUUUUAAGUUAA